rnacentral:tRNA from 1 species
GCUCCUGUAGCUCAGUUGGUUAGAGCAUUACCUUGGUAAGGUAAAGGUCGUGAGUUCAAUUCUCACCAGGGGCU